UACAGAGGGGGCAAGCGUUGUUCGGAUUUACUGGGCGUAAAGGGCGCGUAGGCGGCCAGCACAAGUCAGUUGUGAAAUCUCCGAGCUUAACUCGGAAAGGUCAACUGAUACUGUGCGGCUAGAGUGCGGAAGGGGCAACUGGAAUUCUUGGUGUAGCGGUGAAAUGCGUAGAUAUCAAGAGGAACACCUGCGGCGAAGGCGGGUUGCUGGGCCGACACUGACGCUGAAGCGCGAAAGCCAGGGGAGCGAACGGG
rnacentral:rRNA from 1 species